rfam:Picea glauca, whole genome shotgun sequence.
GGGUGUGAUCAUACCAGCGUUAAUGCACUGGAUCCCAUCAAAACUCCGCAGUUAAGUGUGUUUGGGCUAGAGUAGUACUGGGAUGGGUGAUAAAAAUGUUAAGUAAUGUCUAUU